rnacentral:rRNA from 1 species
AGUGAACGCUGGCGGUAGGCCUAACACAUGCAAGUCGAACGGCAGCACAGUAAGAGCUUGCUCUUACGGGUGGCGAGUGGCGGACGGGUGAGGAAUACAUCGGAAUCUACUUUUUCGUGGGGGAUAACGUAGGGAAACUUACGCUAAUACCGCAUACGACCUACGGGUGAAAGCAGGGGAUCUUCGGACCUUGCGCGAUUGAAUGAGCCGAUGUCGGAUUAGCUAGUUGGCGGGGUAAUGGCCCACCAAGGCGACGAUCCGUAGCUGGUCUGAGAGGAUGGUCGGCCACACGAGAACUGAGACACGGACCAGAGUCCUACGGUAGGCAGCAGUGGGGAAUAUUAGACAAUAGGCGCAAGCCUGAUCCAGCCAUACCGCGUGGGUGAAAAAGGCCUUCGGGUUGUAAAGCCCUUUUGUUGGGAAAGAAAAGCAGCAGGUUAAUACCCCGCUGUUCUGACGGUACCCAAAGAAUAAGCACCGGCUAACUUCGUG